rnacentral:rRNA from 1 species
UGAGCUCGAUGAGUAGGGCGGGACACGUGGUAUCCUGUCUGAAUAUGGGGGGACCAUCCUCCAAGGCUAAAUACUCCUGACUGACCGAUAGUGAACCAGUACCGUGAGGGAAAGGCGAAAAGAACCCCGGCGAGGGGAGUGAAAAAGAACCUGAAACCGUGUACGUACAAGCAGUGGGAGCACGCUUCGGCGUGUGACUGCGUACCUUUUGUAUAAUGGGUCAGCGACUUAUAUUCUGUAGCAAGGUUAACCGAAUAGGGGAGCCGAAGGGAAACCGAGUCUUAACUGGGCGUUAAGUUGCAGGGUAUAGACCCGAAACCCGGUGAUCUAGCCAUGGGCAGGUUGAAGGUUGGGUAACACUAACUGGAGGACCGAACCGACUAAUGUUGAAAAAUUAGCGGAUGACUUGUGGCUGGGGGUGAAAGGCCAAUCAAACCGGGAGAUAGCUGGUUCUCCCCGAAAGCUAUUUAGGUAGCGCCUCGUGAAUUCAUCUCCGGGGGUAGAGCACUGUUUCGGCAAGGGGGUCAUCCCGACUUACCAACCCGAUGCAAACUGCGAAUACCGGAGAAUGUUAUCACGGGAGACACACGGCGGGUGCUAACGUCCGUCGUGAAGAGGGAAACAACCCAGACCGCCAGCUAAGGUCCCAAAGUCAUGGUUAAGUGGGAAACGAUGUGGGAAGGCCCAGACAGCCAGGAUGUUGGCUUAGAAGCAGCCAUCAUUUAAAGAAAGCGUAAUAGCUCACUGGUCGAGUCGGCCUGCGCGGAAGAUGUAACGGGGCUAAACCAUGCACCGAAGCUGCGGCAGCGACACUAUGUGUUGUUGGGUAGGGGAGCG